rnacentral:rRNA from 1 species
ACAAGAGUGCACGGUGGAUGCCUUGGCACUAGGAGCCGAUGAAGGACGCGACGAACGGCGAAACGCUGCGGGGAGCUGUAAGUAAGCAAAGAUCCGCAGGUCUCCGAAUGAGGAAACUCACUAACUGGAAGAGUUAGUACCGUAUGGUGAAUACAUAGCCAUACAGGAGGGAACCCAGGGAACUGAAACAUCUUAGUACCUGGAGGAAAAGAAAGCAAUAGCGAUUCCCUAAGUAGAGGCGAUCGAACGGGGAACAGCCUGUUACAAUACGGAGUUACAAAAUUCUUGGAUAGUCGAACUAGCUUGGAAAACUAGACGAAACAAGGUGAAAGUCCUGUAGACGAAAUCUAAGAAUCUCCAGUAACGACAAGUAGGGCGGGGCACGUGGAACCCUGUCUGAACAUGCGAGGACCAUCUCGUAAGGCUAAAUACUCCCUAGUGACCGAUAGUGAACCAGUACCGUGAGGGAAAGGUGAAAAGAACCCUUGGCAGGGAGUGAAAAAGAACCUGAAACCGUGUACUUACAAUUAGUCAAAGCCCCAUUUGCGGGUGAUGGCGUGCCUUUUGUAGAAUGAACCGGCGAGUUACGAUGAUUUGCAAGGUUAAGCUUUAAGGAGCGGAGCCGUAGCGAAAGCGAGUCUUAAUAGGGCGAAGUUAGUAGAUUGUCGUAGACCCGAAACCGAGUGAUCUAGCCAUGAGCAGGUUGAAGCUUGGGUGAAACCAGGUGGAGGACCGAACCAGGGUCUGUUGCAAUAGACUUGGAUGACUUGUGGCUAGCGGUGAAAUUCCAAACGAACUCGGAUAUAGCUGGUUCUCCCCGAAAUAGCUUUAGGGCUAGCGUUGUGGUUUGUUUAUUGAAGGUAGAGCUCUGAAUGGGUGCGGGCCUCACCUCGAGGUACCAAUCUCAAUUAAACUUCGAAUGUCAGUAAACUAAAGCAGCAGUUAGACUAUGAGUGAUAAGGCCCAUAGUCGAGAGGGAAACAGCCCAGACCGCCAGUUAAGGUCCCGAAAUCUAUGCUAAGUGGGAAAGGAUGUGGAGUUGUUUAGACAACUAGGAGGUUGGCUUAGAAGCAGCCACCCUUUAAAGAGUGCGUAAUAGCUCACUAGUCGAAUGAUUCUGCGCCGAAAAUGUAACGGGGCUAAGCAUAGUACCGAAACUGCGGAAUUAGAGAUUUUCUCUAAUUGGUAGGGGAGCGUACUUAGUUGCGUUGAAGGUGAUCCGUAAGGAUAGCUGGAGUACUAAGUAGUGAGAAUGCCGGUGUGAGUAACGAAAAGAUGGGUGAGAAUCCCAUCCGUCGAAAGCCUAAGGUUUCCAGAGGAAGGUUCGUCCGCUCUGGGUUAGUCGGGUCCUAAGGUCAGGCUGAAGAGCGUAGCCGAUGGACAACAGGUUGAUAUUCCUGUACCACCUAAAUGACUGAUGGAAUGACGAAGGAGGCUAGCUGGAGCUACUAAGUGGUAUAGUAGUUCAAGCAUAAAGGUGGGUGUGUAGGCAAAUCCGCACACUGUUAACACUGAAGUGUGAUGAGGAAACUCUGGUGAAGCCAAACUUCCGAGAAAAGUUUCUAGGGUUAAUCAUUUAGGUGCCCGUACCGUAAACCGACACAGGUGGGCGAGGAGAGAAUCCAAAGACGCGCGAGAUAACUCUUGUUAAGGAACUCGGCAAAAUGACCCCGUAACUUCGGGAUAAGGGGGGCCUAUGGCNNNNNNNNNNUAACGUUUUGGGCGCUGUCUCAACUCGAGACUCGGUGAAAUCAUACUACCUGUGAAGAUGCAGGUUACCCGCGACUAGACGGAAAGACCCCGUGGAGCUUCACUGUAGCUUGAUAUUGAUACUGGGUGUUGGAUGUACAGGAUAGGUGGGAGACUAUGAAGUUGGGACGCCAGUCUCUUCUGAGUCACCCUUGGGAUACCACCCUUCCAAUACUUAGUAUCUAACUUGUAGCCAUGAAACUGGUUAGAGGACAGUGUCAGGUGGGCAGUUUGACUGGGGCGGUCGCCUCCCAAAAGGUAACGGAGGCGCCCAAAGGUUCGCUCAGAAUGGUUGGAAAUCAUUCGCAGAGUGUAAAGGCAGAAGCGAGCUUGACUGUGAGACCUACAAGUCGAACAGGAACGAAAGUUGGGCUUAGUGAACCGGCUGUGCUGAAUGGAAAGGCAGUCGAUCAACGGAUAAAAGCUACCCCGGGGAUAACAGGCUUAUCUCCCCCAAGAGUUCACAUCGACGGGGAGGUUUGGCACCUCGAUGUCGGCUCAUCGCAUCCUGGGGCCGGAGUAGGUCCCAAGGGUUGGGCUGUUCGCCCAUUAAAGCGAUACGCGAGCUGGGUUCAGAACGUCGCGAGACAGUUCGGUCCCUAUCUGUCGUGGGCGUUGGAAAUUUGAGAGGAGCUGCUCCUAGUACGAGAGGACCGGAGUGGACAUACCGCUGGUGUACCAGUUGGCCUGCCGGGGCCACAGCUGGGUAGCUAUGUAUGGACGGGAUAAACGCUGAAAGCAUCUAAGCGUGAAGCCCCCCUCAAGAUGAGAUUUCCCAUUCCUUUAAGGAAAUAAGAUCCCUUGGAGAUGACGAGGUUGAUAGGUCAGAGGUGUAAGUACAGUAAUGUAUUGAGCUGACUGAUACUAAUAGAUCGAAGACUUAACCUU